rfam:Vigna angularis cultivar Jingnong 6 scaffold406_78, whole genome shotgun sequence.
GUGGUGGUGAUGAGCCUCUAACAUAUAAGAAGAGUCCUUUUUUAGGGUUUCUUCAAUGCAAUAUGCAUGUUACGCUUGGCUUCUGAGCUUC